UGCCCUGUCGUCUAAUGGUAAGACUGCGGUUUCUGAUACCGCCUAUCGAGGUUCGAAUCCUCGCGGGGCAUCCA
rnacentral:tRNA from 27 species